CAGUAGCCGCGGUAAUACGUAGGGGGCAAGCGUUGUCCGGAAUUAUUGGGCGUAAAGGGCUCGCAGGCGGUUUCUUAAGUCUGAUGUGAAAGCCCCCGGCUCAACCGGGGAGGGUCAUUGGAAACUGGGAAACUUGAGUGCAGAAGAGGAGAGUGGAAUUCCACGUGUAGCGGUGAAAUGCGUAGAGAUGUGGAGGAACACCAGUGGCGAAGGCGACUCUCUGGUCUGUAACUGACGCUGAGGAGCGAAAGCGUGGGGAGCGAACAGGAUUAGAUACCCCCGUAGUCCCUGUCUCUUAUAA
rnacentral:rRNA from 1 species